rnacentral:tRNA from 1 species
GGCGGCGUAGCUCAGUUGGUUAGAGCAUCGGAAUCAUAAUCCGCAGGUCCGGGGUUCAAGUCCCUGCGCCGCUACCA